UUAUAAAAUAAAAUAAAAUAAAAAUAAAGGAAGGCAUAUAUGUGUAUAUAAAACUACAGAUACAAAAUCCAAGGAUAGAUUACUGACAAACGGAAAACACCGAUAAACAAAGUUAGUUUUUGUAUAUUGAGCAUACACAAAACUGCAAGAAUCAAAAUUUUACUUCAUUCAUUUUGAACAAUAAAACUAACAAAAUAAACAAUAGAAUAAAAAUUAAUUAAACAAUAAAAUAGAUUAUAUAAUAAUAUCACUGAUUUUGAAAUUUAAUAACCACCAAAUGUAAUUAAUCCUAGAAAAAAA
rnacentral:misc_RNA from 1 species